rnacentral:rRNA from 1 species
GACGAACGCUGGCGGCGUGCUUAACACAUGCAAGUCGAACGAUGAACCGGAGCUUGCUCUGGGGAUUAGUGGCGAACGGGUGAGUAACACGUGGGCAACCUGCCCCAGACACCGGGAUAACCAUUCGAAAGGAUGGCUAAUACCGGAUACGACCACUUCGGGCAUCCGAUGGUGGUGGAAAGGAUUCUGGUCUGGGAUGGGCCCGCGGCCUAUCAGCUUGUUGGUGGGGUAAUGGCCUACCAAGGCGACGACGGGUAGCCGGCCUGAGAGGGCGACCGGCCACACUGGGACUGAGACACGGCCCAGACUCCUACGGGAGGCAGCAGUGGGGAAUAUUGCGCAAUGGGCGAAAGCCUGACGCAGCGACGCCGCGUGAGGGACGAAGGUCUUCGGAUUGUAAACCUCUUUCAGCAGGGAUGAAGCGAAAGUGACAGUACCUGCAGAAGAAGCACCGGCUAACUACGUGCCAGCCGCCGCAGUAA